UACGAAGGGUGCAAGCGUUAAUCGGAAUUACUGGGCGUAAAGGGUGCGUAGGCGGUUCGUUAAGUCUGUCGUGAAAUCCCCGGGCUCAACCUGGGAAUGGCGAUGGAUACUGGCGAGCUAGAGUGUGUCAGAGGAUGGUGGAAUUCCCGGUGUAGCGGUGAAAUGCGUAGAGAUCGGGAGGAACACCAGUGGCGAAGGCGGCCUUCUGGACCAGCACUGACACUCAAGCACGAAAGCGUGGGGAGCAAACAGG
rnacentral:rRNA from 1 species